rnacentral:sRNA from 1 species
UCAUAUUGUACAGCUGUCUGCCGCGUCCGC